rnacentral:ncRNA from 1 species
AGCUAAUUUGAUUAUAGUUACCUAAUUGGCUUUUUUUGUACCACUACAUGCCAGUAACCUGCGUCAAUUUUCCCAACAAUCACUAGCAGUAAAUAACCUUAAGUUUAUGGGGGCCACCCCGACUUAGAAACAGAAAAAAGCACCGGCCGAUCUCGUGCCAGCAGCCGCGGUUACACGAGAAGUGCAAGUCAAAUGCUCCGGCACCAAAUGUGGUUAAUCAACUCAUUAUAUGGGUAAAUGCUUUUCCUGCUGUUCGCACGCUUAAAAGAUAGAAACCCCCAUUAAAAAGAUCACCCACAAAAGCUAGAAAAUAAACCGGGAUUAGAUACCCCGCUAUAUCUAGUCGUCACAUACUAAACAAGCCAGAGAACUAAAUACCAAGUACAAAACUCAAAAAAUUUGGCGGUAUCUUAUACCUAACUAGAGGAGCCUGCUGUUUAAACCGAUAUUCCGCGAGAAACCUUACCAAUCCUUGCUCUCACCGCUUGUAUACCAUCGUCGUCAGCCUACUUUGUAAAAACUUUAUAGCAGGCAAAAUGGACUUCCCAAUACGUCAGAUCGGGGUGCAGCUAAUGGAUUAGGGACAAGUUGGCUACAAUCCCUAAAAUGGGAGACGAACUUUAUUUUUGCAAAAAUAAACGAAGCAGGAUUUAGCCGUAAUGGGGGAAAGCACACCCCCACGAAGAAAGCUCUGAGAUGCGUACACAUCGCCCGUCACUUCCCUACAAUACCCUAAAAUUUUUAAACAGUAUUACCAAAAUAAAAGGGGAAAAAGUCGUAACACAGUAGGUGUACUGGAAAGUGCACCUGGCCCACC